GACGAACGCUGGCGGCGUGCCUAACACAUGCAAGUCGAACGAACAGUCCGGGGAUUUUGGCGCACGUCUGCGUAAGCCGUGGGAACCUGCCCUUGGGUUCGGAAUACCUCAGAGAAAGUUGAGCUAAUACCAGAUAAUGUCUUCUGACCAAAGAUAUAUUGCGUUUGGAUGGGCCCUCGUUGGAUUAGCUAGUUGGGAGGGUAAUGGCCUACCAAGGCGAGGAUGCAUAGCUGGUCUGUGAGGAUGAGUAUCGACACUGGGAGUGAGACCCGGCCCAGACUCUUACGGGAGGGAGGAGAGGGGAAUAGAGGACCAUGGGGGAAAGCCUGAUCCAGCAAUGCCGGGUAAGUGAUGAAGGCCGUAGGGUAGUAAAGCUCUUUUACCCGGGAUGAUAAUGACAGUACCGGGAGAAUAAGCCCCGGCUAACUACGUG
rnacentral:rRNA from 1 species